rnacentral:rRNA from 1 species
GCCCUAGUACGGCGAGUGAAAGCGGCAACAGCUCAAAUUUGAAAUCUGGCCCUAGCGGUCCGAGUUGUAAUUUGCAGAGGAUGCUUUUGGUGCGGUGCCUUCCGAGUUCCCUGGAACGGGACGCCAGAGAGGGUGAGAGCCCCGUACGGUUGGACACCUACCCUAUAUAUAGCUCCUUCGACGAGUCGAGUAGUUUGGGAAUGCUGCUCUAAAUGGGAGGUAAAUUUCUUCUAAAGCUAAAUACCGGCCAGAGACCGAUAGCGCACAAGUAGAGUGAUCGAAAGAUGAAAAGCACUUUGAAAAGAGGGUUAAAUAGCACGUGAAAUUGUUGAAAGGGAAGCGUUUGCGACCAGACCUUUUCCAGGCGGAUCAUCCGGUGUUCUCACCGGUGCACUUCGCCUGGUUUAGGCCAGCAUCGGUUUUCUUAGGGGGAUAAAGGCCUGGGGAACGUAGCUCUUUAGGGAGUGUUAUAGCCCCUCGCGUAAUACCCCUCGGGGGACCGAGGACCGCGCUCUGCAAGGAUGCUGGCGUAAUGGUCGUCAACGACCCGUCUUGAAACACGGACCAAGGAGUCGAACAUUUGUGCGAGUGUUUGGGUGUUAAACCCUCACGCGUAAUGAAAGUGAACGGAGGUGAGAGCCCUCACGGGUGCAUCAUCGACCGAUCCUGAUGUCUUCGGAUGGAUUUGAGUAAGAGCAUAACUGUUCGGACCCGAAAGAUGGUGAACUAUGCGUGGAUAGGGUGAAGCCAGAGGAAACUCUGGUGGAGGCUCGCAGCGGUUCUGACGUGCAAAUCGAUCGUC